rnacentral:tRNA from 1 species
GAGGGUAUAACUCAGUGGUAGAGUGCUUGCUUAGCAUGCACGAGGUCCUGGGUUCAAUCCCCAAUACUUCCA